rnacentral:rRNA from 1 species
UGUCGCCUACGGGGCGCAGCAGUGAGGAAUAUUGGUCAAUGGCCGAAGGGCUGAACCAGCCAAGCCGCGUGAAGGAAUAAGGCCCUACGGGUCGUAAACUUCUUUAGUCAGGGAACAAAGGGUGCCACGUGUGGCGCUGUGAGUGUACCUGAAGAAUAAGCAUCGGCUAACUCCGUGCCAGCAGCCGCGGUAAUACGGAGGAUGCGAGCGUUAUCCGGAUUUAUUGGGUUUAAAGGGAGCGUAGAUGGGUUGUUAAGUCAGUUGUGAAAGUUUGCGGCUCAACCGUAAAAUUGCAAUUGAUACUG